UAUACAGGUGUUCUAGAAACAAAUCUAUUACAAAUAAUACGAACCUCUGUAGGAAAAAAAUGCUAGAAUUGGUGGGGUUUGGAGAAACUUGGCAUCUCAGGGGAUCUGGCAGCCUAGAUCUAGCCUAGAAAGUGAGAUAAACUUUCUAAAGUGUAGUUUAUCUGACAAACUUCAUGCCUUGAACUGUAUUGUACAGUGUAAGUAGUAUUUGCUUCGCUUUUAGAGACAUGAACAAGGAUAGACUUUGAACACCACCCAGUAAGUAAGUUCAUCUGUUACUUUAUCAUCAGGACUACAAGAUGCUUUGCAACACCUGACUUGCAGAGGGAAACCAAUGGACUUGCAUGGUGUUUUAUCUUCCUUCCUCGCUCUCAAAUUAAGCUAAUGCCUUGCUCUGUGUCAACAACAGGAAUUUUGGAUUCAAAUACUCACCUGUUGUGCAAGUGAUCCAUAUUUCUGUGCAUACAUACAUCUCCCCAGCAUGAGAAGGUUGAACUGCAGACGUUGGAGACGGGUAGCGAUGCUCAGCACACCGGGCACAGUAGUGCUGUUUGCAUCUAUGGGUUUGCCUGUCCCAAGCCCUGGCAAAGCUGAGAUCUGGGAAAGUCCUGUGCACGGGUGUGAAGAGGUAUUGAAGUAAACUAAGCAUUGUGUUACACAUACUUGUAUUGCUGUUCCAUGGAAGCAGCAGUCACUCAGAUAGAAUCUCGUGGAUAGUUAAGUAAAAAUCCUAGGUUAGUUGACACAACAGGAGUUCCACUAUUACCCUCAAUAAAGCCCACAUUUAAUACAGUCCAAAUUAAAAGAGGCUGGGAAAGGGUGCAGGCAAAGGCGAAUUGUGAGGCAGGAGUGUUUGUGUCUUUCAGAGUCACGUUUCUGACUGGCAAAGUGAUUUUGAGCUAAGAACUUCAGAAGAAAUUAUUGAGAGCACAAAAAUAACAACAGCUGAUUUUGCUGUUUUAUUGCCAAUAAAUGGCAAUAUUGAUUCGUGCUGGGUUUUUUUUCUGUGUAGCAAAGCUUGCACAGGGAAUGACAAACUGCAUAGCAGCUACUGUCUAUUAUAUUUCUUUGUUGCUAUAUUCUGUUUCUCCCACUUAAACAAAUGAGUUUCAAGUGUAUUCAUUUUCUUCUUAGAAAUUUGGCCAUAGUAAAGAAACUGGUUACA